rnacentral:pre_miRNA from 1 species
UGUUGUCAGGUGUCACCGAGAGUUCCCUUACUCACUUCAUUGGGAAAUAAUUAUUUUUGAUAAAUUAUAUAUCCUACUGAAGUGUUUGGGGGAACUCCUGGUUGCAUUUGAUUUUACA